UACGUAGGUGACAAGCGUUGUCCGGAUUUACUGGGCGUAAAGAGCGCGCAGGCGGUCGAAUAAGUCGAAUGUGAAAGCCCCCGGCUUAACUGGGGAGGGUCAUUCGAUACUGCUCGACUUGAAGGCAGGAGAGGGUAGUGGAAUUCCCGGUGUAGUGGUGAAAUGCGUAGAUAUCGGGAGGAACACCAGUGGCGAAGGCGACUACCUGGCCUGUUUCUUGACGCUGAGGCGCGAAAGCUAGGGGAGCAAACGGG
rnacentral:rRNA from 1 species